AACUCCCGUAAAAUUCAUUAGCAAGCGAGCCCUUAUGCUUGCACCGUUGUGAAAUAGCUUUCUACCGUUUUGCCAAGGUUCGUGCACGUGUAACCUUCCACCCUGUGGAAGGUAGGGGGGGGGAAACGAACCGCUGCAGCCACGAAAUCCGGAAGUCAAUUUGCAUAAAGCUGGCCUUGCGACGGUGGUUCUACUCGCGGUGGCAGAAUUUAUAGUGCGCUCCUAUUCCACAGCCAUCAUCGUUGCAUUUUUCGUUGCAUUUCGUAGUCCACCUCGGACGGGGGGUGGGUUAAAGAAAUGGGUUGAAUUUAUUCACAUCCUCCGCCGAAGGUCACCAACCGUGGGCUGGCACGCACGAACAUAAAAAAUCCCGGACACCAUAUGGAGCCACUAAACGAUGUUUCGGGUUCGCCUUCAACACUUCCCCAAGGGAAUGGGGACAUUUCAACACAUUUGUUUGGAAUUCUUUCACCGCGUAAGGGUAAGGACUUUAAUUUUCGCAACAUUUUAAUACAUUUCCGCAAACAAAAUCGCACAAAUGCAAUGAUAAAACACUCUAGAGAGAAUACUAUUCACACACAAGGGACAGGCGCGAUGGAAUGUUAUUUUAAUUUUAACUCCAGCCCAUCCUCUCUAACGAAACGGUACAUUAAUUUAAUGAAAGUAUGUGUGUGUCUCCCUUUCCAACCGUCUGUCCUUGUCCUCCAUUUCUAACCUUCACUACAACGCAGCAAGCACUGUCAAUCGCGGUAGUGAAAGCGGUGAAUAAUUGAAAGAGCCUCCCCGUAUUCCUUCACAAGCCUCCACAGGGAAGACGCAGUUUUUAUGUUCUGUCGCUGACCAGAAGCCCAUCCGUGUGCAAUUUAUUGCAUUCGCGGAUUCCGCUCGAUAAGCAAAGGGACCAGGACACGGAAAAAUCGCUUCACACAUUUGCCAUCAUUCUUGGAGCUGUCGUUUGCGGUUAAAUGAUGGAUUGGAUGUAACGAAUUCCACUCCCCUUUGCUGGUCAGUUGUAGUGGCUUUUGAUUUCCUCCUACGGUGCAGCGAACCGAACGCGGCAAUUAAUGUAAUUCAUUGCUUCAUUCCCAAUCGAUCGUCGUUUUUGGUUUGGUGAACCGGGGGAAAAGGACUGACUGAACGAACUGUUCUGUGGCAGGCCAACAACGGUAGUAGGCUAUGAAUAUUCGAUCGAGAACGGAUGGGCCGUUGGGUUGAAGCGUAAGUUGGAGCGAUGUAUGGUGGAUUAAAACGAAACGGAAUUUGGUGAAACGCAUCUCAGUAGCCAGUGACAGUCUGGCCAAUACACAAACGAGCAAUCAAAACACAACCUCCUAAUAGACCUCCUAAUUUCGCCAUUUUCUCGUAUUCGUACAGUUCGAUGAACGGAAAAUUAGACCCAAAAAGCCCAGCACUAACCAGAAGAAGAAGAGCUCCAGCUCACCAAACGUACAACAACUCCGAAAAUCGGCCCCAUUAAUUGAGUUUCCAAGCAGGGACAGUUUUCCGAAAAACGGUAUCCUGUCCACUAUUUACGGAUCGCCUGUUUACCGAUUAGUUUUUGGGAAAGGAUGGAGGCACACAAGGAGGCACAUUUCGGAAGCACACAUGGACACAAACAUUUAUCACGGCGUGCUGAGGAUGAUGGGGAGGAGGCUACAACAAUGCAUGUCUAACGAGAGGUCCACGAGCCCGGUGGGCAUUCGACCGUGUGCACACGCGGAGGAAGAGGAUGAUGUUUAUUGGCGUGGCAAGAUAAUGCCGGAUUAUGGUCUAGAUUUGGGAUUAGGAGCGAUAAUUUAGCGCUCGGAACGGAAUAACCACACAUUGCGGCGAGCGUCGGCGAGGUCUCGGUUUGUGUGUGUAGUUAAACUAUUUAACCCGACUCGGUACUUCGGUUAUGUCCUGUGGCAGUUGCGUGUCAUCGGAAAUGAUGGGACACACUCGCCGGCUAGUGUGUGAUUCAAUGUUUCGAGCGAAAACCGCACCGAAAAUGGGAACUCCUGGUUGGUGUACAUUGCGUGGUCGUCCGCUGGCUCGUCUCGGCUAAUGAGUAAUUAGGAUUAUACGAGGUACACACCGCCGCCGAGUUUGCCUGGGGUUGGGUCCGACAUGCAUGCCAGGAUAUUCGAAACCUUCCGUCACUAUUUUGGAUCAUGGGGGUUUGUGUGUGUGUGUGUGUGUGUGUGGAUGUGUUGUGCGAAUAAUAAUUGAACUCGCGACUAAUCAGAUUCACGGUGCGUUACGAUUGUAAUUAUACAGAGGGCUAGUGUCAUAAAAGCGAAAGGAAUUAGCAGACGAACGAUACGGUCUAGUGUUCUUUUAGUGUUCAAUAAAAUCUGAUUCGAGCUCAGAUUUGUCGGACACACCCAGCUUUGAGGGCCUGGCUUAAGGGUAGCCAAAGCCACAA